rnacentral:rRNA from 1 species
AUUGAACGCUGGCGGCAUGCCUUACACAUGCAAGUCGAACGGCAGCACGGGAGCAAUCCUGGUGGCGAGUGGCGAACGGGUGAGUAAUAUAUCGGAACGUGCCCAGUCGUGGGGGAUAACGCAGCGAAAGCUGUGCUCAUACCGCAUACGAUCUACGGAUGAAAGCGGGGGAUCGCAAUACCUCGCGCGACUGGAGCGGCCGAUAUCAGAUUAGCUAGUUGGUGAGGUAAAGGCUAACCAAGGCGACGAGCUGUAGCCGGUCUGAGAGGACGACCAGCCAGACUGGAACUGAGACACGGUCCAGACUCCAACGGGAGGCAGCAGUGGGGAAUUUUGGACAAUGGGCGAAAGCCUGAUCCAGCAAUGCCGCGUGCAGGAUGAAGGCCUUCGGGUUGUAAACUGCUUUUGUACGGAACGAAACGGUGAGCUCUAAUACAGUUUGCUAAUGACGGUACCGUAAGAAUAAGCACCGGCUAACUACGUGCCAGCCGCCGCCGUAA